UGUUGGUCCCCCCGCAAUGAAUCGCUGUAAACCCCGCCAGGCCCGGAAGGGAGCAACGGUAGCAGUACAUUCAUGUGCCGGGGUGUGGCUGGCAGGG
rnacentral:SRP_RNA from 2 species